rnacentral:rRNA from 1 species
UACGUAGGCAGCGAGCGUUGUUCGGAGUUACUGGGCGUAAAGGGUGCGUAGGCGGUCCUGUAAGUCUGGUGUGAAAUCUCCCGGCUCAACUGGGAGGGUGCGCCGGAAACUGCAGGGCUAGAGUGCGGGAUGGGAGAGUAGAAUUCCUGGUGUAGCGGUGAAAUGCGUAGAUAUCAGGAGGAAUACCUGUGGUGUAGACGGCUCUCUGGACCGCGACUGACGCUGAGACACGAAAGCGUGGGUAGCAAACAGG